rnacentral:rRNA from 1 species
CCUACGGGAGGCAGCAGUGGGGAAUAUUGCACAAUGGGCGAAAGCCUGAUGCAGCGACGCCGCGUGAGUGAAGAAGGUUUUCGGCUCGUAAAGCUCUGUCAGCAGGGAAGAACGUUCAUGGUGCUAACUAGUAGCGCAUUGACGGUAACCGACCAGAAAGCACCGGCUAACUACGUGCCAGCAGCCGCGGUAAUCCGUAGGGGGCGAGCGUUAACCGGAAUUACUGGGCGUAAAGCGCGUGUAGGCGGUAUGUCAAGUCUAGGGUGAAAUCCCUGAGCUCAACGUGAGAACUGCAUGGGAAACUGGCAGACUUGAGUGUAGGAGAGGAUAGUGGAAUUCCAGGUGUAGGGGUGGAAUGCGUAGAUAUAUGGAAGAACACCAGUGGCGAAGGCGACUGUCUGGCAUGUAACUGACGCUGAGGAGCGAAAGCAUGGGUAGCGAACAGGAUUAGAUACCCGUGUAGUC